rnacentral:lncRNA from 1 species
CGUCAAAACGACACAAUCCAAACAAGCUGUAAAAUAGCUGAUAUUUCCGACAAUCCUCGAGGCAUCCGCUAAAAGAAGAACAGAACAUCCAUAGCUUUCGCAUUUUAUUGUCAUUUCUAAAGGGCAGAGUCUUUUCUAGAUCUGCCCCUCUUUCUCGCUCUCUCCUGAUUCGUUGUUCAUCACUGUAAGAUCUCUCUUCUCCAAUUCAUUGAUUUUCAUCACACACACACAUCGUUCGGUUGCUAACAAUUGAUAUGAUAAAGUUUGUUUAUUUGUGUAUCUAUUUUGUUGAUCGAGAAGUUUAUGGAAUUUAAGAUCUGGAUUUAGGCCGUUUGGAUCUGGGGUUUUAAUAAGGUUUUCAUCUUUAUUUGAUAUUCAUGUGCAUUCUUCGUAUUUCUAUUGAUUUGAUCUGGUUAUGCUUUCUGUAUUAUGUCAAUUUUUGGAUGUGGAUUUUUGUUCUUUUUUGUUAAUGGAUCUGGAUUUUGGUUAGUUAUGUCAAUGUUCAAGGAUUUGUUCUUUUUUGUUAAUGGAUCUGGUUUUUGGUUAGUUAUGUCAAUGUUCAAGGAUCAGAUUUACAUACACGGGUCCUUGAUUCAAUUGAUUAUUAAACUUAUUGAUAUGGAUCUCUAGAUAAAUAAAGGAACAUUGAAAUUUAAGAUGAUUUAAAAAAAAGGAUCCAAAAGUUGCUUUUUUUAUCACCAUAUUAUAUUUGGGAUUUCUGUUGGCUUGAAAGAAAUUUAAGAUGAUUUUCUUAAACAAAAAAAGAGGAACCAGAAGUUGCUUAUUUGAUCACCAUAUUGUAAUUGAGAUUUUUGUUGGCUUGAAAUCUUAGCUCUGGUUCUCAUUUUCCAAUGCUUGUGCUUUUUUGAAACCUGUCGAUACAAUAAAAUCCAUUGGUGUAAGUUUGACGGUGAAUUUAGAUGUGUGGUGAUCUGAGUUUUUAUUUUUGGUCCAACAGGCAUUGAGAAAAGAUGGGUUUAUCAUUUGGGAAGCUUUUUAGUCGGCUGUUUGCCAAGAAGGAGAUGCGUAUUCUGAUGGUCGGUCUUGAUGCAGCUGGUAAAACCACCAUAUUGUACAAGCUCAAGCUGGGAGAGAUUGUUACCACUAUCCCUACCAUUGGUAAGUUAUGUU